GUAAAUAAUAAAGGGCGUAUGGUGGAUGCCUAGGCUCUCAGAGGCGAUGAAGGACGUGAUAAGCUGCGAAAAGCUCCGUUUAGGUGCAAAUAACCUUUGAUGCGGAGAUCUCCGAAUGGGAUAACCCAAUAUGUUGAAGACAUAUUAUACCGUAAGGUAGGCAAACGCAGGGAACUGAAACAUCUAAGUACCUGCAGGAGAAGAAAACAAACGUGAUUCCCCCAGUAGCGGCGAGCGACCGGGGAUAAGCCCAAACCGUUAUUGUUUCGGCAGUAGCGGGGUAGUAGGACUGCGACAUUGAUGAAAUAAAUGAAAUGGAACACCUUGGAAAAUGUGAUCACAGAGGGUGAUAAUCCCGUACAUGUAAGUUUAUGAAUCAUAGCAGACUCCUGAGUAAGUCGGGACACGUGUAAUCCUGACCGAAUCCGCCGGGACCAUCCGGCAAGGCUAAAUACUCCUGAGAGACCGAUAGUGAACCAGUACCGUGAGGGAAAGGUGAAAAGCACUUCGAACAGAAGAGUGAAAUAGUCCCUGAACCCAUACGCCUACAAGCAGUCGGAGCCGCUUCGUGCGGUGACGGCGUGCCUUUUGCAUAAUGAGCCUACGAGUUACUCAUCACCAGCGAGGUUAAGUACUUCAGGUACGUAAGCCGAAGCGAAAGCGAGUCUGAAUAGGGCGUCAAGUUGGUGGUGGUAGACGCGAAACCUUAGUGAUCUACCCAUGGGCAGGGUGAAGGUUUGGUAACACAAACUGGAGGCCCGAACCGGUAAACGUUGAAAAGUUUUCGGAUGACCUGUGGGUAGGGGUGAAAGGCCAAUCAAACUGGGAAAUAGCUCGUACUCUCCGAAAUGCAUUUAGGUGCAGCCUCUGUUGUUUUGUUCUAGAGGUAGAGCUACUGAUUGGAUGCGAGGGCUUCACCGCCUAUCAAAUCCGGCCAAACUCCGAAUGCUAGAACAUAAAGACAGGGAGUGAGCCAGCGGGUGCUAAGGUCCGUUGACGAAAGAGGGAGAACUCAGACCAUCAGCUAAGGUCCCCAAUUAUAUGCUAAGUUGGAAUAAAAACGGGGUGGGACUGCUUAGACAGCUAGGAUGUUGGCUUGGAAGCAGCCAUUCAUUUAAAGAGUGCGUAACAGCUCACUAGUCGAGCGGUCCUGCAUGGAUAAUACGCGGGCAUAAGCAUAUAACCGAAGCUAUGGGAUUGUAGAUGAUACAAUCGGUAGGAGAGCAUUCCAUUCAGCAUAGAAGCAGUAUCGUGAGGUAUUGUGGAGCGGAUGGAAAAGCAAAUGUAGGCAUAAGUAACGAUAAUGCGGGUGAGAACCCCGCACGCCGAAAGAUCAAGGAUUCCCCGGCAAUGUCAAUCAUCCGGGGGUAAGUCGGAUCCUAAGGGUAAGCCGAGUGGCGAUCCCGAUGGUAAACAGGUUAAUAUUCCUGUACUGAUCAUAACUGCGAUGCAGCGACGCAGAGGUGACACUGCUGCGUACUGACGGAAUAGUACGUUGAAACCCGUAUUCUUUGAUACCGGUAGUGAAGCACGCCGGUAGAGAUGAAAGGUGAUAGUACCGCAAUGCUUCGGUUGCGCGGAUAACGCAGGUAAGCUGACUGCCAAGAAAACCUGCUAAGCUUCAGGUAAUGAUCAUCCGUACUGUAAACGGACACACGUGAUCAGGUAGAAAAUACUAAGGCGCUCGAGAGAUUCAUGGUUAAGGAACUAGGCAAAAUGGUCCUGUAACUUCGGGAUAAAGGACGCUCUUGUGAAAGAGCCGCAGAUAAUAGGCCCAGGCGACUGUUUACCAAAAACACAUGGCUAUGCUAAUUCGCAAGAAGAUGUAUAUGGCCUGACACCUGCCCGGUGCCGGAAGGUUAAGAGGAGAGCUCAGAGGUAACUCGAAGGUUUGAAUUGAAGCCCCGGUAAACGGCGGCCGUAACUAUAACGGUCCUAAGGUAGCGAAAUUCCUUGUCGGGUAAGUUCCGACCUG
rnacentral:rRNA from 1 species